ACAAAACGUAACAAAGCAACAAGUUAAAAAUUCUUAUAUCUAAAAUUUGUGAAUUUAUUAUUUCUAAUUGAUUAAAACCUAUUGAACUAUAUAAGAUAGACCCUAAAAUAUCGAUUGUUACAUUACGACGGAGAAUACACGUGAAAGACUAAUGUUUUGAUAGCAUACUCCAUUAAAAGACCGAGUUUGCUGUGAAGAAGUCCGAAUCGUCUCCGCUCCCGUAACAAAACUAUCAGAACAUUAUUGUUCUAACCUCACUUCCGUGAGCGGUUCGGGGUACAUAUCUG